rnacentral:lncRNA from 1 species
UCCAUCUGCCUGCCUGUCUCAGCUGGAAAUCUCCAUCAUCAGUCAGUGGACUGAUGGAUCAUGGCACUAAAACUCCUCAGUAGAAGGCAGCUGCAUUAUCUAAGCGGGGGAACAUGUUAAACAGCUUGAUGCAGAUGAGCAGGUAACCAUGGAAGUCGUGAGCUGAGGCUGCAGAGUCUAGAGCCAGAGUGUGGAAUAAACUUGGGUCUCAAAUCACCCCUGGAGCAAAGCACCCAUCUAAUCAGGAACUUCUACUUUCAACUUUACAUGCGUGAGAAAUGAACUUCUAUCAUGUUAGAGAAAUCCUUACACGGCGCCCUUGAGAGCUUUCAUACUGCAAGUCAUCCAUUUUCCUCCCCUCAAACCUGGCAUCGGAGUUUAUUGAAACAAAGCAAAAUAAAACAAAUAGACAAAGCUCUACCUCCAUCACUUCUGCAGUCUACAUUAACCCCACGUCCAGAAUAUUCACACCUCAGGUCUUUUUCUCACAAUUGAAACACUGGUUCAGAGCCUAACGGAAGGUCUUGGAGGUAAAAACACAACUUGGGGCAACUUUUCCAUUCUGUUCUGCAUGACCCCAAUGGGACUUCUCAGAAACCCCUCUCAUGAAUUAAACUUUGUUCUGUCUAGAGCAUUAGAAUAAGCUUAUGGGCACCUGCCAGGAGAUUAUAAAGUGGGCCAUUUAAAAGAUGACAGAUAUUGAGCACCCUUGACCCUGUAGAAAGAGUGUACCUACUUGCUUUCCCUAGGGCCCUUAAUGGUUUAUAAAA